AUCCGGAUUGAGGAGAAUUAUGAUAUCGAAAUGAAUAUCAUCAAGUGAAAAUAAUAAAGAAGAAAUAAGAAGAGAAACACACCAAGCCAAUUCUCGAUUUUAUACAUCGACCUUCCCUACGGAUACGAAAUAAAUUCUGGAAAUAAAAAAAAAGCGUACAGUAAAAAUGUUGAUUUUUUAACCCCCUCCCACCAAGUGUACGUUUUGUACACUUUGGAAAAUGGUUGACAAUUAUGGAUGACCCCUUACGGCUUUU
rnacentral:lncRNA from 1 species